rfam:Pseudomonas syringae pv. phaseolicola 1448A, complete genome.
AACAGCUGCAGCGAAGGAACGCCGCAGCGAUCAGGGAAGAUCGACCAUUGCCAGGAGGCUACUGACAGGAUGUCGGAAUGGUCAUGUUGCAAAACCACCCGCUUCGGCGGGUUUUUUG